AGCGAACGCUGGCGGCAGGUCUAACACAUGCAAGUCGAACGAAGUCUUCGGACUUAGUGGCGGACGGGUGAGUAACACGUGGGAACGUGCCUUUAGGUUCGGAAUAACUCAGGGAAACUUGUGCUAAUACCGAAUGUGCCCUUCGGGGGAAAGAUUUAUCGCCUUUAGAGCGGCCCGCGUCUGAUUAGCUAGUUGGUGAGGUAAAGGCUCACCAAGGCUACGAUCAGUAGCUGGUCUGAGAGGAUGACCAGCCACAUUGGGACUGAGACACGGCCCAAACUCCUACGGGAGGCAGCAGUGGGGAAUCUUGCGCAAUGGGCGAAAGCCUGACGCAGCCAUGCCGCGUGGAUGAUGAAGGUCUUAGGAUUGUAAAUUCCUUUCACCGGUGAGGAUAAUGACUGUAGCCGGAGAAGAAGCCCCGGCUAACUUCGUGCCAGCAGCCGCCGUAAAAC
rnacentral:rRNA from 1 species